AUUUGGUUUAAACUCUUAAACUCAGUUUCCUUCAAUAAAUAACUUAGACAGCAUUUAUGAUUCAGUAUUUCCUGUUAAUUGAAUAAUUGGGAUUUUAUGAAUGUAAUAAGGAUUUGUGAUUCUUGCAAACUGAAAAUGGUUUUCUACCCCUCGUGGUAGCGAGUUUUAAAAAGAAAAAUAUUUUCGUGUGGAAAACAAUUUUUAAAAGGUUUUUUUGGUUUUCAUGACUUAGUAUUUCAAAACGAGUUUCCGGGUAGGAAACAUUUUAAACUAAUUGUUGUGGAUUUAUGGAUAAAUUCUGAAUAUGAAUGUGAAUAGUGGAUGAAUAUGUGUAUGUUCAUAGAUGGUGGUUGUAUCCUGUUUUGUGUAUAUUGUACUUGUGCGAUGCCGUGCAAAUAUAGGGGAGACUCUGUCCGUGUGAAUAGUGGACUCCCUAUAUUUGUGGCGGAUCUGGCAUACUCUGGGGGUCAGGUUUUUUUUAUUAAAAAAAAAAUU
rnacentral:lncRNA from 1 species